rnacentral:rRNA from 1 species
GGGCCCGCACAAGCAGUGGAUUAUGUGGUUUAAUUCGAAGCAACGCGAAGAACCUUACCAGGUCUUGACAUCCCAUGCAUACCCUAGAGAUAGGGGAAGCCCUUCGGGGCAUGGAGACAGGUGGUGCAUGGUUGUCGUCAGCUCGUGUCGUGAGAUGUUGGGUUAAGUCCCGCAACGAGCGCAACCCUUGUCGUUAGUUACUACGUGAAGAGGACUCUAGCGAGACUGCCGUUGACAAAACGGAGGAAGGUGGGGACGACGUCAAAUCAUCAUGCCCUUUAUGACCUGGGCUACACACGUAAUACAAUGGCACUUAACAACGGGAGGCAAAGCCGCGAGGUGGAGCAAACCCCAAAAGUGUCUCAGUUCGGAUUGCAGGCUGCAACUCGCCUGCAUGAAGUCGGAAUUGCUAGUAAUCGCGGAUCAGCAUGCCG